rnacentral:rRNA from 1 species
UACGUAGGGGCCGAGCGUUGUCCGGAGUUAUUGGGCGUAAAGCGCGCGCAGGCGGCCUCGCGCGCCCGACGUGAAAGCCCCCGGCUUAACCGGGGAGGGUCAUUCGAUACUGUUCGACUCGAAGGCAGGAGAGGGAAGUGGAAUUCCCGGUGUAGUGGUGAAAUGCGUAGAUAUCGGGAGGAACACCAGUGGCGAAGGCGACUUCCUGGCCUGUUCUUGACGCUGAGGCGCGAAAGCUAGGGGAGCAAACGGG